rnacentral:rRNA from 1 species
CCUACGGGAGGCAGCAGUAAGGAAUAUUGGUCAAUGGACGCAAGUCUGAACCAGCCAUGCCGCGUGAAGGAUUAAGGCCCUCUGGGUUGUAAACUUCUUUUAUAGGGGACGAAAAAAGGGCAUUCUUGCUCACUUGACGGUACCCUAGGAAUAAGCACCGGCUAACUCCGUGCCAGCAGCCGCGGUAAUACGGAGGGUGCAAGCGUUAUCCGGAUUUACUGGGUUUAAAGGGUGCGUAGGUGGGUUGGUAAGUCAGUGGUGAAAUCUUCGAGCUUAACUCGGAAACUGCCAUUGAUACUAUCAAUCUUGAAUCAUCUAGAGGUAAGCGGAAUAUGUCAUGUAGCGGUGAAAUGCUUAGAUAUGACAUAGAACACCAAUUGCGAAGGCAGCUUACUAUGGAUGUAUUGACACUGAGGCACGAAAGCGUGGGGAUCAAACAGGAUUAGAUACCCUGGUAGUCCACGCCCUAAACGAUGGAUACUCGACAUUUGUGAUAUACUAUAAGUGUCUGAGCGAAAGCAUUAAGUAUCCACCUGGGAAGUACGACCGCAAGUUGAAACUCAAAUGAAAUUGACGG